CCUACGGGGGGCAGCAGUGGGGAAUAUUGCACAAUGGGGGAAACCCUGAUGCAGCGACGCCGCGUGAGGGAUGACGGCCUUCGGGUUGUAAACCUCUUUCAGUAGGGAAGCGGUACCUGCAGAAGAAGCGCCGGCUAACUACGUGCCAGCAGCCGCGGUAAUACGUAGGGCGCAAGCGUUGUCCGGAAUUAUUGGGCGUAAAGAGCUUGUAGGCGGUUUGUCGCGUCUGGUGUGAAAACCCACGGCUCAACGGUGGGCUUGCAUCGGGUACGGGCAGGCUAGAGUGUGGUAGGGGAAACUGGAAUUCCUGGUGUAGCGGUGAAAUGCGCAGAUAUCAGGAGGAACACCGAUGGCGAAGGCAGGUUUCUGGGCAUACUGACGCUGAGAAGCGAAAGCAUGGGGAGCGAACAGGAUUAGAUACCCGAGUAGUC
rnacentral:rRNA from 1 species